GGGUCAGUAGGUUGGUCGUGCCACCGGUACGUACUGGUCUCACUGAUUCCUUCUUCCUGAAGAACCGUAAUGCCAUUAAUUUGGUGUUGCGGGAAAACAGGACUGUUACUUUGAAAAAAUUAGAGUGUUUAAAGCAAGCUAACGCUUGAAUACAUUAGCAUGGAAUAAUGAAAUAGGACGAUCGAUCCUAUUUUGUUGGUUUCUAGGAUUGACGUA
rnacentral:rRNA from 1 species